GUGAUAUGCCAUUUUUUAAAAAGCUUUACAUUUAGUAGACAAAGCAAAUGGAUAAAUAUAAUUUAAAUUACGCUAUGUUAUUUCGAAGGUUAUUUAACUUAUUUUAAAUUUUCUAUAUAAAGCUUUAUACAGAAAAUUUAACAAUAAGGUUUAUUUUAUUUUAAAUUAAAAGCCAUUAGUAUUACUAAUUAAUAUAUAAUAAAAUAUAUGGUAAGUUAAUACAUAUAAUAUAUGGUAAGUUACUACAUGUCUAAAUCUAGAAAAUUAUGCAAGAAUAUAUGCAAUCCAUAUAGUCUAUAUUAUAGAAAUAAAAGUUCAACUAAUCCUUUACUAGUAGUAAGGGGUUAGUUGAACAAUUAUUUCUAUAAUAUAGACUAAAUGGAUUAUUUAUAGUCUUGUUUAACUUUAUAUUUUAGACAUGACAUGUAGUAACAUACCAUUUUAGUUUAAAUCAGUUGUAAAAUUAAAAAUGUUAACAUCUUUGAUAGGUAUAUUUAAUUAGGUUAGUUACAGCUAAGUUUACAUGGCUAGUUAAUAUGCUUUUAUAAAUUGCAAUUUUUAUUAAUUUCCAAAUUAAACAUGUGGCAUCCAAUAUCAUAAACUAAGAUUAUACUGGUGUGUUUAUGUUAUUUUAGAAUUUUUUGUUUUAGACACAUGGUAUUUUUUAUCCUGCUGUAAGUUAAAACUAGUUGUAAAAUUAAAAAACUUAUAUUGGAACUUCUUUUUCUUUUAACAUUCAUGUUUAUUUAUUUAUACUAUCUUAGAAUUUGCUGCUUUAGAGGCACGGCAUUUAGUGUCACAUUUUAGGUUUAAAUUGGUUGUAGAAUUUAAAUUGUAACUUGCAUAUUUAUUUAGUUGAGUUUAAUCUAAAUUUAUAUCUGAUGUGUUUGUAUUAUUUUAGAAUUUACUGUUUUAGACACGUGGCAUGUGGUAUCCCACUAUUACAACUAAGUUUGUGUAUGGCUUGUUUAUAUUAUUUCAGAAUUUGCUAUUUUAGACACUUGGUAUAAGCUGUCAUACUACACGUGUCAUGUGAUAUCCCACUAAUUAGCUAUUUUAAACAUGUGACAAGUGGUAUGACACUUUUUUAAAAGGUUAUCAGAUAAUGUCAAGGAGUUGACAGCAUGGUGUCCAAUUAAAGUGCGAACCUGUGUACGAGUAACAACAGUAUUCAAAACCAAAACCUAUUUAAACCAACCAAACCAAAACUAGCGACCAAAAACUAUCUUGGCAUUGGUUUAUUUUAAACAUCUAAUAUAUAUAUGUGUGUUUUUUAUAUAAAUGUUCUAGCUUGAGUAUAGUGUAUUAAAAAAAAUUUUCAUGUAUUUUCAUUGUAAUUUAAAGCAUAUUGGAUUAAAUAUUAUAAAUA